rnacentral:rRNA from 1 species
UACGGAGGAUCCGAGCGUUAUCCGGAUUUAUUGGGUUUAAAGGGUGCGUAGGCGGAAAUGUAAGUCAGUGGUGAAAUCCUGCAGCUUAACUGUAGAAUAGCCGUUGAAACUGUGUUUCUUGAGUACAUUUGAGGUAGGCGGAAUGUGGUGUGUAGCGGUGAAAUGCAUAGAUAUACCACAGAACACCGAUUGCGAAGGCAGCUUACUAAACUGUCACUGACGCUGAUGCACGAAAGCGUGGGUACCAAACAGGAUUAGAUA